rnacentral:lncRNA from 1 species
GUUAGUCCAAUGAUUUAGGGAGUAUUUGCAGUUUUACUAAAUUUUUGGAUAAAAAAAUAGAAAGAUGUCCAUGUACCAUGAAAAGAAGUUUAUCAUACAUUAAUACAAAGGUAUAAUGUGGUUUUAAAUUUUAAAACAAAUUUAAAGAUUAUAGGCUUCAUAUAUAGAACAUUUACCGAAAACUCACUAUUUUGGUAGGUGUUAACACAUAGAUUUUGAAAAAAUAAAAAAAAUUGAAAAUACUGUUUUAAUACAUAUUUGAAUCAAGUAAAAAAAUAUGAUGAAGUUCAAAGAGGUUUGAAACCUUUGUUGUCUCCGUUUCUCUAGGGAAUAGCAAUUUAAUAGUGGUUAGUCCAAUGAAUUAGGGAGUAUUUGCAGUUUUGCUAAAUUAAUGGAUAAAAAAUUAGAACGAUGUUCAUUUACCAUGAAAAUAAGUUUAUCAUACAUUAAUACAAAGGUAUAAUUUGGUUUUAAAUUUUAAAACGAAUUAAAAGAUUAUAGGCUUCAUAUAUAGAGCAUUUACCGAAAUCACACUAUUUUCGUAGGGGGGUACACAUAGAUUUUGAGAAAAAUUCAAAAACUUUGAGAAUACUAUUUUAAUACAUAUUUGAAUCAUGUAAUAAAAUAUGAUGAAGUUCAAAGAGGUUUGGAACCUUUGUUGUCUCUGUUUCUCUAAGGAAUAGCAAUUUUAUAGUGGUUAGUCCAAUGAUUUAGGGAGUAUUUACAGUUUUGCUAAAUUAAUUGAUUAAAAAUUAGAACGAUGUCCAUGUACCAUGAAAAGGAGUUUAUCAUAAAUUAAUACAAAUUUAUAAUGUGGUUAUAAAUUUUAAAACGAAUUAAAAGAUUAUAGGCUUCAUAUAUAGAGCAUUUACCGAAAACUCACUAUUUUCGUAGGGGGGUACACAUAGAUUUUAAGAAAAAUUCAAAAAAUUUGAAAAUACUGUUUUAAUACAUAUUUGAAUCAUGUAAUAAUAUAUGAUGAAGUUCAAAGAGGUUUGGAACCUUUGUUGUCUCCGUUUCUCUAGGGAAUAGCAAUUUUAUAGUGGUUAGUCCAAUGAUUUAGAGAGUAUUUGCAGUUUUGCUAAAUUAAUGGAUAAAAAAUUAGAACGAUGUCCAUGUACCAUGAAAAAAAGUUUAUCAUACAUUAAUACAAAAGUAUAAUGUGGUUUUAAAUUUUAAAACAAAUUUAAAGAUUAUAGGCUUCAUAUAUAGUGCAUUUACCGAAAACUCACUAUUUUCAUAGGGGUCAACACAUAGAUUUUGAGAAAAAUUCAAAUAAUUUGAAAAUACUGUUUUAAUACAUAUUUGAAUCAUGUAAUAAUAUAUGAUGAAGUUCAAAGAGGUUUGGAAUCUUUGUUGUCUCCGUUUCUCUAGGGAAUAGCAAUUUUAUAGUGGUUAGUUUAAUGAUUUAGGGAGUAUUUGCAGUUUUGCUAAAUUAAUGGAUAAAAAAAUAGAACGAUGUCCAUGUACCAUGAAAAGAAGUUUAUCAUACAUUAAUACAAAGGUAUAAUGUGGUUUUAAAUUUUAAAACAAAUUUAAAGAUUAUAGGCUUCAUAUAUAGAACAUUUACCGAAAACUCACUAUUUUACACAUAGAUUUUGAAAAAUUCAAAAAAAUUGAAAAUACUGUUUUAUUACAUAUUUGAAUCAAGUAAAAAAUAUGAUGAAGUUCAAAGAGGUUUGGAACCUUUGUUGUCUCCGUUUCUCUAGGGAAUAGCAAUUUUAUAGUGGUUAGUCCAAUGAUUAGGAGUAUUUGGAGUUUGCUUUGCUAAAUUAAUGGAUAAAAAAUUAGAACGAUGUUCAUGUACCAUGAAAAGAAGUUUAUCAUACAUUAAUACAAAGGUAUAAUGUGGUUUUAAAUUUUAAAACAAAUUUAAAGAUUAUAGGCUUCAUAUAUAGAGCAUUUACCGAAAACUCACUAUUUUCGUAGGGGGGUACACAUAGAUUUUGAGAAAAAUUCAAAAACUUUGAGAAUACUGUUUUAAUACAUAUUUGAAUCAUGUAAUAAAAUAUGAUGAAGUUCAAAGAGGUUUGGAACCUUUGUUGUCUCUGUUUCUCUAAGGAAUAGCAAUUUUAUAGUGGUUAGUCCAAUGAUUUAGGGAGUAUUUGUAUUUACAGUUUUGCUAAAUUAAUUGAUAAAAUUAGAACGAUGUCCAUGUACCAUGAAAAGAAGUUUAUCAUAAAUUAAUACAAAGGUAUAAUGUGGUUUUAAAUUUUAAAACAAAUUAAAGAUUAUAGGCUUCAUAUAUAGAGCAUUUACCGAAAACUCACUAUUUUCGUAGGGGGGUAACAUAGAUGAUUUUAGAAAAAUUCAAAAAAUUGAAAAUACUGUUUUAAUACAUAUUUGAAUCAUGUAAUAAUAUAUGAUGAAGUUCAAAGAGGUUUGGAACCUUUGUUGUCUCCGUUUCUCUAGGGAAUAGCAAUUUUAUAGUGGUUAGUCCAAUGAUUUAGGGAGUAUUUGCAGUUUUGCUAAAUUAAUGGAUAAAAAAUUAGAACGAUGUCCAUGUACCAUGAAAAGAAGUUUAUCAUACAUUAAUACAAAGGUAUAAUGUGGUUUUAAAUUUAAAACAAAUUUAAAGAUUAUAGGCUUCAUAUAUAGAGCAUUUACCGAAAACUCACUAUUUUCGUAGGGGGGUACACAUAGAUUUUGAGAAAAAAUUCAAAAAAAUUGGAAAAUACUUUUUUAAUACAUAUUUGAAUCAGGUAAUAAAUAUGAUGAAGUUCAAAGAGGUUUGAAACCUUUGUUUGUCCGUUUCUCUAGGGAAUAGCAAUUUUAUAGUGGUUAGUCCAAUGAUUUAGGGAGUAUUUGCAGUUUUGCUAAAUUAAUGGAUAAAAAAUUAGAACGAUGUCCAUGUACCAUGAAAAGAAGUUUAUCAUACAUUAAUACAAAGGUAUAAUGUGGUUUUAAAUUUUAAAAAAAAUUAAAGAUUAUAGGCUUCAUAUAUAGAGCAUUUACCGAAAACUCACUAUUUUCGUAGGGGUUACACAUAGAUUUUGAAAAAAAAAAAAAAAUUGAAAAUACUGUUUUAAUACAUAUUUGAAUCAGUAAAAAAUAUGAUGAAGUUCAAAGAGGUUUGGAACCUUUGUUGUCUCCGUUCUCUAGGGAAUAGCAAUUUUAUAGUGGUUAGUCCAAUGAUUUAGGAGUAUUGCAGUUUUGCUAAAUUAAUGGAUAAAAAAUUAGAACGAUGUCCAUGUACCAUGAAAAGAAGUUUAUCAUACAUUAAUACAAAGGUAUAAUGUGGUUUUAAAUUUUAAAACAAAUUAAAAGAUUAUAGGCUUCAUAUAUAGAGCAUUUACCGAAAAACACUAUUUUCGUAGGGGGGUACACAUAGAUUUUGAGAAAAUUCAAAAAAUUUGAGAAUACUGUUUUAAUACAUAUUUGAAUCAUGUAAUAAAUAUGAUGAAGUUCAAAGAGGUUUGGAACCUUUGUUGUCUCUGUUUCUCUAAGGAAUAGCAAUUUUAUAGUGGUUAGUCCAAUGAUUUAGGGAGUAGAUUUUGGAGUAUUUACAGUUUUGCUAAAUUAAUGUAUAAAAAAUUAGAACGAUGUCCAUGUACCAUGAAAAGAAGUUUAUCAUAAUUAAUACAAAGGUAUAAUGUGGUUUUAAAUUUUAAAACAAAUUAAAAGAUUAUAGGCUUCAUAUAUAGAGCAUUUACCGAAAACUCACUAUUUUCGUGGGGGGUUACACAAUAGAUUUUGAGAAAAAUUCAAAAAAUUGAAAAUACUGUUUUAAUAUAAUAUUUGAAUCAUGUAAUAAUAUAUGAUGAAGUUCAAAGAGGUUUGGAACCUUUGUUGUCUCCGUUUCUCUAGGGAAUAGCAAUUUUAUAGUGGUUAGUCCAAUGAUUUAGAGAGUAUUUGCAGUUUUGCUAAAUUAAUGGAUAAAAAAUUAGAACGAUGUCCAUGUACCAUGAAAAAAAGUUUAUCAUACAUUAAUACAAAGGUUAUAUGUGUGGUUUUAAAUUUUUAAACAAAUUUAAAGAUUAUAGGCUUCAUAUAUAGAGCAUUUACCGAAAACUCACUAUUUUCAUAGGGGUCAACACAUAGAUUUUGAAAAAAAUAAAAAAAAUUGAAAAUACUGUUUUAAUACAUAUUUGAAUCAAGUAAAAAAAUUUGAUGAAGUUCAAAGAGGUUUAGAACCUUUGUUUUCUCUGUUUCUCUAGGGAAUAGCAAUUUUAUAGUGGUUAGUCCAAUGAUUUAAGGAGUAUUUGCAGUUUUGCUAAAAUUAAUGGAUAAAAAAUUAGAACAAUGUUCAUGUACCAUGAAAAGAAGUUUAUCAUACAUUAAUACAAAGGUAUAAUGUGGUUUUAAAUUUUAAAACAAAUUUAAAGAUUAUAGGCUUCAUAUAUAGAACAUUUACCAAAAACCCACUAUUUUCGUAGGGGGGUACACAUAGAUUUUGAGAAAAAUUCAAAAAAUUUGAAAAUACUGUUUUAAUACAUAUUUGAAUCAUGUAAUAAUAUAUGAUGAAGUUCAAAGAGGUUUGGAACCUUUGUUGUCUUCGUUUCUCUAGGGAAUAGCAAUUUUAUAGUGGUUAGUCCAAUGAUUUAGGGAGUAUUUGCAGUUUUGCUAAAUUAAUGGAUAAAAAAUAGAACGAUGUCCAUGUACCAUGAAAAGAAGUUUAUCAUACAUUAAUACAAAGGUAUAAUGUGGUUUUAAAUUUUAAAACAAAUUAAAGAUUAUAGGCUCAUAUAUAGAGCAUUUACCGAAAACUCACUAUUUUCGUAGGUGGUUAACACAUAGAUUUUGAAAAAAAUUAAAAAAAUUGAAAAUAAUACUGUUUUAAUACAUAUUUGAAUCAUGUAAAAAAAAUAUGAUGAAGUUCAAAGAGGUUUG